UUUUAGACAUAUUUAAUGUGCUUACAAUAUUUAAAAGUAAGGAAAAGUGACUAAAUAGAUAAUCGUUGGAAAUAAACACAUGCAUACAUACAUACAUACGUACGUACGUGUGUGUGUGUGAGAGAGAGAGACCACUUCUCACCUUUUUACAUUUAAUUUCUUCAGCAAAUUAUAAGCAUUUUGUUGUAUUUCAUGAGAUGUGUAGCAAUCAUUUUAUUGUUGAGUGGUCACUAGAAACUUUUUUUUGUUAAUGUACCUGCCAGUCAUACACCCCAGACAUCCUAUUUAUUUUGUUUGCAUUUUAAGCUGUGUUAAUAAUUGGUCAUUUGUUUCUUCCAUCAAAUAUGCUUGUUUUGCUUUUUGUUACAAUAGUAAUGUUUAGACAUUACCACUUUGAUUUAGUUUUUUUUGAGACACUGAUGAAGAAAACAUUUUUACACUAUAUCUUCUUAAAAAAUUGUAGUGUGACUCAGGGCUUUGCACAGCAUUCCAUCCAUUCUCUAUACCUGCUUAGUAGUCAUACAGCGGGCACUUUGCGCAGUAUUACACAAUGAAAACAUAUUCCUUUCAUUCAGACACAACUGAGUAAAAAAAAAAAAAAGUAAUCCACCAAAAAUACAUCAUCAUACAAGACAGUUAGAUGUGAUUAUUCACUUAAUGUCCAUAGCGUCACAAUCCACAUCUGCUUCGUGAUCAAGUGUGA